AUUGAACGCUGGCGGCAGGCCUAACACAUGCAAGUCGAGCGGAUCGGCAGACGGGUGAGUAAGGCCUAUGAAUCGGCCAGUUCGUGGUGGAUAGGGUUCGCUAACGGACACUGAUGCUGCAUACUAUCAGCUGCGCCUGGGCCGGAUUGGCUAGUUGGUGGGGGAAAGGCCUACCAAGGCGACGAUCCGUAACUGGUCGUAGAGGAUGAUCAGUCACACUGGAACUGAGACACGGUCCAGACUCCUACGGGAGGCAGCAGUGGGGAAUAUUGGACAAUGGGCGAAAGCCUGAUGCAGCCAUGCCGCGUGUGUGAAGAAGGUCUUCGGAUUGUAAAGCACUUUAAGUGGGGAGGCGUUACCAACAGAAUAAGCACCGGCUAACUUCGUGCCAGCCGCCGCGGUAAUAC
rnacentral:rRNA from 1 species